rnacentral:rRNA from 1 species
UACGUAGGGACCGAGCGUUGUCCGGAAUCAUUGGGCGUAAAGAGCGUGUAGGCGGCCACUUAAGUCCUGCGUGAAAUCUUGCGGCUCAACCGCAAGCGGUCGUGGGAAACUGGGUGGCUAGAGUGCGGGAGAGGAGAGUGGAAUUCCUGGUGUAGCGGUGAAAUGCGCAGAUAUCAGGAAGAACACCAAUGGCGAAAGCAGCUCUCUGGGACGGUACUGACGCUGAGACGCGAAGGCGUGGGGAGCAAACAGG